AUAUUGUUCCUCGUUAAAUUGUGUCCCAGGUGCUACAGUGCCAGGAAUCAUUGUCCUGGGAUUAAUCCUCAUCUUGUUUAUCUUUAUGUUUGCAGGUGUGCAUUCCGAAAUCGUGCUGAAUCAGCGGGCGGUGGAAACCGUUCGACCUGGCGGGUCACUCAAGUUGAGCUGUCAAACCAGCGGGUUCAAUCUUGGAGACACCUGGAUGAGCUGGCUCCGUCAGGUCCGCGGGCAGGAUCUGGAGUGGCUCCUUGAAUACAAAGACUCAUCGAGCAAAACCUUAGCCCCAGGGAUCCGGAACAGGUUUACACCGUCCAAAGAGACUUCAAGCGGCGUAUUUGUCAUGGAUAUGAAAGAUCUGAACGCUGAAGACUCCGCCGUUUAUUACUGUGCUAGAUACGACAAUCCUGCUGGACACUAUUACCUUCAAGACUGGGGAGUAGGAACCACGGUGACGGUGACUGACGCGGAUCCUUCUGCCCCCAACCUCUAUCCUCUUCGCACUUGUGUGGAUCCCAGCUCCAUGGACUCAUUCACCUUCGGCUGUUUGGCAAUGGACUACACCCCGAUGGGCACCACGCUCUCCUGGAAAAAAGAUAAUGAGCCGAUUACCACAGGAGUGAAGACGUAUCAGGCAUUAAAAAACAAGAGUGGAACAUACACGAGGAGCAGCCAAUUGACCAUCGCCAAGGCAGACGCGGAAAAGCGCACAAUCUACUGUGUGGUUCAGCAUGGCGGUAAAGUGAAUAACGUAAAAAUGCCAGAUCAAAUGGUGCAUCAUCCAGUCAUCGCCAUUACUCUGACUGAACACGAUGAACUAAAACGCAGCACGAAAGCGACUGCCUUGUGUUCGCUCACCGACAUCGGCCCACAGACAUUUUCCGUUACCUGGCUGAAGAAUGGUGAGCCUCUGGAUUCUGGCAUCGUCACCUCUCCCGCCUUCAAGCUGAACAGCACCUUCUCAGCGACCAGCCAGUUGACAUUCCCAACUUCAGAAUGGUUCGGAGGUGCUAUCUAUACCUGCCAGGUCGACCAAGGGGAGGAUCGGCUGAGCCAAAACAUCAGCAGGUCUCCAGAUGAUGAUUCCUGCCGCAAAGUAAAGAUUGCAAUCCACCCACCAACUGUGCAGCAGGAGUUAAUGGAGAUGACCGUGACUUUAACCUGCAUAGUCUCCAAUGCACCUGUUGGGAUCAAAGUGUCUUGGAGUCGAGGAAAGACGCCUUUGGAUUCAGAGAUCCUGUCCACAGAAAACGCAGAAGUUGUAGAGAGCAAAGCGAACAUCUCGACGCGUGACUGGAUGAGUGGGGAUGAGUUUGAUUGCGUAGUGAGCCAUGAUGAUAUGGCGACUCCAAAAACGAAAUCAAUCUACAAGAUGGCAGAUCCACAUCCCCGGGAACCGUCCGUCUCGGUUCUCCUGCCGCCGGCAGAAGAAGUCUCCGAUCACAAGACCAUCGCCCUCACCUGCUUUGUGAGAGGAUUCUCCCCUCGCAGGAUCUUCGUCACAUGGACAGUCGAUAACCAGCGGGUGCAUUCGAGCAACUACAGGAACACCGAGGUGGUGGCGGAGAACGGCGACAACUCCUUCUUCAUGUACAGCCUGUUGUCCAUUGGGGCAGAGCAAUGGGCGAGCGGAGCCUCGUUCUCCUGUGUGGUGGGACACGAAACACUACCCAUGAAGACCAUCGUUAGAACGGUCAAUAAGUCCAGUGGUAAACCCAGUUUUGUGAAUGUUUCACUUCUAUUGAUGGAUACUGUCAAUUCAUGUCAAUGAGAAUGAAGAGGCUGCAUUUCACUCAAAUAAAUACGAAUAAAUGCCUUUGUCUCCCAA